rnacentral:rRNA from 1 species
AUUGAACGCUGGCGGAAUGCUUUACACAUGCAAGUCGAACGGCAGCACGGACUUCGGUCUGGUGGCGAGUGGCGAACGGGUGAGUAAUGUAUCGGAACGUGCCCAGUCGUGGGGGAUAACGUAGUGAAAAUUACGCUAAUACCGCAUACGAUCUAUGGAUGAAAGCGGGGGAUCGCAAGACCUCGCGCGAUUGGAGCGGCCGAUAUCAGAUUAGGUAGUUGGUGGGGGAAAGGCCCACCAAGCCAACGAUCUGUAGCUGGUCUGAGAGGACGACCAGCCACACUGGAACUGAGACACGGUCCAGACUCCUACGGGAGGCAGCAGUGGGGAAUUUUGGACAAUGGGCGGAAGCCUGAUCCAGCCAUUCCGCGUGCAGGAUGAAGGCCCUCGGGUUGUAAACUGCUUUUGUACAGAACGAAAAGGUUUCUACUAAUACUAGGAGCUCAUGACGGUACUGUAAGAAUAAGCACCGGCUAGCUACGUGCCAGCCGCCGCUGUAA